GGUUUUAUUAUAACUGUUUAAAAAUAAAAAACAGCAUAGAGUGAAAGGAAAACAUGAGUACAACAGUUUGAGAGGAAAAGUCACACCACCAGUUUUAUCAGUAUUUCAGACAUUUAAAACAAUAAACUAACAGUAACUAUCAAUAUGACUGAUAUGAAACCCUUGUAUUGUUACACUUUUUAGCCAUAUUGUCCCGCCUUACUUUGACGUCACACAGCAGCAGCUCGGUGUUUGACAGUCAUUUAUGCACCGAUGUUAUAGUUUAUUCAGCAACAAGAGCCAACGGUAUCAUCACAAGACGAAGAAGGCUGAUAAAAAGACAGCGUAACCAAUGGCAAUGGCUUUUUGUGAUUGACUUCUGUAAACAAGUCAGUCCGGAUGCGGAGUUGGAGCAAAGAGUGGAGGGAAUGUGAUGUGAUGUGCUUCUUUCAUCAUUUCAUGAUUAUUUUCAGCCAUUGUUUACGUCCAGAAAUCUGAUUUUUUUUUGGGGGGGGUGAAAACAUUUAGCUGUUUCAGACUGUGAAAGAAGUUGGGUAUGGGUCCCAUACGGGUAAAAAAAAAAGAAACAGGCUUGGGUCGCAUUUACCUGCUGUGUGAACAUAGCCAUAAAUAUCAUUACUGAUGCAAAUAUGUACAAGUGAAAUAUUUAGAAGUAUCAAGAAAAGUGUAAGCAUUCAGCAGAAGUCUUAAAAUCUAUCUCUGGUUUUGUAUUUCUAACUUACAAAACUAAGUUUUGCAGGAGGUUUCUGCUGAAAUUGCAGAAACCUCCUGAUAUUCGCGGUUCAGUAUUCACAAAUGUGUAAGGUCAGGGGUCAGCGACCUUUUCCAUUCACAGAGCCACUUUUCCCCUUCUGCUACAAAAAUAAAACUCGCCUAGUGUCACAAAAAACUAUUUUAAAAAAUGUAUGAAGUACAUUUUUACGUAAAAUGUUUAAUUAUGAAAGUUAACAAAAUUAAGCUAAAAUGUAAAUUUUGAGAUUUUAGAACAAAUAUUACAUUAGAUAAAAUGACAAUUUAGCAGAAUGGGGUGAGUCUUUUCUAUAAAUAUGGAAAAGGAGAAAUAUGGUUAGCAUAGUUUGAAGCUGGGUGUUUUUUAAAAGCCUGUUAUAGAUAUUAAAAGUAGAUUUUGCGACCUUUGACCUAUUCACCAUGCUACGUGACAUCCUAUUGGCUGGUGUUUGCAAAGCAGCCAAUCCAGGAAUGAUAGGUUGUACGCCAAAUAAUGGAGAUGAGUCCGACUGUAGACAUUAGUGAACUUCAGCAGUAGUGCCAAGAUGGUUUCCAUUGGACGCAUUAGUGGAUAUUCAGGUAUAUUUGGUGUUUAAAGUUUUAAAUAGGAAAUUAUAAGCAUUUUUAGAGGGAGCCUCAGCUUUUGAGGGGCAGCUUUGGUCCUGGGGGUUUACCUGUUAUUUUUAAAAUACUUAUUAGUCUCAAGUUAAAACACACAGAUGUUACAAACCAAGGAAACUUCAGCUACUUUCAAAAUGAACAAAAAAACAACAAAAAAAAUUACAUCCUGUUCUGAGCAGACUUUUAAUGUCACAGGACGUUUCCUCAGGUCUAACGUUGAUAAGAUCUCUGAAGAACUAUGAAGUCAAACGGAAAGACAAUUAUUCAGAGAGAGAGAGAUAUUUUAAGAUGUUCAGUCUUUAAAUCCUGAAACAAAAACUGUUCCAAGAUGGAGUUCAUGAGUGGAAGCGAUGGUUCCUGAUUUGGCUUAAAAUCUUUACUAUUUUUUGUCGAUGCAUCAUCAAUUACUUAAUCUCUUCAAAAAGAAAGGAUAGUGACGGUGUGCUGCCAUCAAUAAAUAUGUCACCUCAAGACUUACAAUGUGGUCCGAACUAUAAAAACUGAUGGUGAUUCUCCUGGAGAAAAUAGUUUGAGACAAACACUUUGUCUCUGAUCAUCAGGAAGCGUCUCCGUAGCAACAGGAGUUUUAGUUUGGUGCUUUGAAACGUACAGGAGUGUGAAACCACCGUGUCUGCAAAGGUUCAUAAGCAGCAAUCUGUAAAACAUCGUAAAGCCAUUUUCAAAAACCAAGAACUUCUGGAAAAACCUCCCAGGUAUUAAAACAUCCCCAUUCCCUGAAAUCCCAGAAAAAUUCACCCCAAGGUUAGAAGGUCAAAGGUUGAGAGCAGUGAUAAAAGAAAAAAACAUAGUUGUGCCUUAAUGAAACAUAAGACAACAGAUGCAACGACCUUUUGAUCGAUGAAGCCAAAGUAGAAAUGGUUGUCCAUGUUUGAGGACAUCCAAACAAAGACUCCGGUAAAGCAUGGUGGUGGAGGAAUGGUGAUCUGGGCUUGUUUUACAGCGAAAUGUUGAAGAAUCAGAUUUGAGGCCCUGAUUCUGGCUGCUGAAUCUUGACCAACAUUGGGUUAUCAAGGUAUCUGCUCCUGCAUAGCCCAUUAUUGACCCAAUGUUGGGCAAGAAGAAGCUGGAUGCUUGCAGACCUCAAUAAGCUGAAGCAGUAAAUAUGAUGCAGUUUUGUUUCUUUUGACGUAGAGUCUUGUAUAACCUAGUCAUUCUUAGAGGUUCUGAAAUGUCUCUGUUCCUUUCUCCUAAAACCCCCUCAAAGUUCCCGUUGGCGUCUAACGUCAAAGCGUCUGGCUUCUGCAGCUGUUCUCGAUUUCAUCAAGCGAUGUUUGACUUUUGAGUCAACCUCAUCACACUCUUUAAAUUCUGAGGACGCAUCAAAUGUCAAUGAGUUUGAAAAGGAGAAGUCAACUCAUUGACAAAUGUGCAAAACUACGCAGUUAGUUAUCAAGACUUUACAGUUGAAACUUUCUGAAUGUAAAUGACCCAUUUGAAUAUCCUGUAUUUUUAGUUGUUUUGCUGUUAGAAUGUUUCCUAUUGAUUGUGACUUUUUUUUGACACAGAAAAAAAAAAAUCUUACAAGUAGGUAAAAAAUCUUGAGAACAGGAAGAGGUGGUGAAACUCGUUUGUUUUCACAACCGAGGAACAGCAUGUGCUCUUUGAUGAAUGACUUUCAUUUAUACAACAUUUCUGUGGAAACUGCUGCGUCUCCUUAUCAGUAUUAUCAUCUCAAGUUUAUUUUUCGGUUUUGUAGUAAUGUUUCUGCAUUUAUACAGGAGAGUUGUUCUGGUCUAUUUUUCUGAAUUAAAUGAAUGUUUUUUAUAAACGGAAAGCAGCUUUCAGGAUCUAAUCUGUACAGAUCCAGGUUUAAUGCACAAUAAAUAUAUUUUUCUGUAUCAGUCUGGUUUACUUGCAAAGCGGUUGCUCUGUUUAUCUUAUGCAAGAUCUUAACCUGAAGAUAAGUUGCAGCUUGUUACCGACAUUUGAUUAAAAGCUGCUUCAUCCUAAA